GUCUAUGGUAGCGUGUAGCGGGCAAGGUUUCGCCCUUGACUGCUUACCUGAUGUUGCAGUUUUCCACCCCGUUACACGCUAUCGCCCUA
rnacentral:antisense_RNA from 19 species